AAAAUAGGUGUAGAUGAGCUUCUGCAGGACCUCGAUUGCCAGGAUAUCGAAUUUUGACUUUAUCCUGAAGAUCAUCAGGAGUCCUUGACAGGAGAUAGAGUAGAAAUUUAAAAGCAGCCUCUAAAUUUCAGAAACGGAACCCAUUGAUAAGAGUCCAUUUUAAAGAGGAAUCUUCAGGUUUGGGGCAUGAGGUCAUGCCUGUCACACAAUUUCUACCACUCUCCAGAGUAAUCAUGGGUGAUUUGGCACCUCCGGCUAAUAGGUGUGUCAUAUCAGAGACUGCCACAGACACCCGGGGCAAUGAGAUUCGUCACUUAAAGAAGGAGGCUGCGGGAGAGCGCCCCAUCCACCGCUGCUGAGUCAUCCCACUCUGUUAGCUAUUUAAACAAGCCUCCAGCAGACACACAAUCAACACUGCACUCCGACAAUGUCCAGACCUCCAGAAAUCAUGGGUCCAGCCUGGAUUGCCCAAGACAAGUACAAUCUUCAAAACAGUAUCUCUCCUCUUUUCCCCAUAUUGUCACACUAGGGGUUCUGACCUCUGGCUCUUUUACUAGAAAUGAGACUAUCCAGCCAGUCCUCCUAUGGGACCUUGGCCCCAGAGGUCACCAAUUCCUGUUUCAAGUUUUCCCACGGUCUUUCUGACUUGACUCUUGUAUUUCUUUCAUGCCAGCAAACAGUGGUGGAGCACCUGUUGUGGGUUCGGCACUGAGCUACAGGUAAGAGUUGGUUAAAGGAUAAACAAGACACAUUCCUUGCCUUUGGCGGCUCACAGUCCAGUGGAAGAGACAGUCACGUAACCAGGCAACCACAAUAUACGAAGUGAUGGUUCUAAGACAGGUGCUGCUGAUGAAAGUGCUACAGGAGUUGGUCUGACGUCUUUGGGAAGGACAAGACAGCAUGCCCACGGAGUUACCAUGUCCCAGUGCUGUUCUUUCCUCCUGAUGGAAAGCCUGAAACAAUUUACAGCAUUGCCAGCAGCAUUCAGUACAUUCAGAACAGGAUCAUUUCACCCACAGCUGAACGAGGGCCACGCUUGGGACAGCACCGAGAACAGCUUUCCAGCAGACACGCCGGGGAGUAAGCCAGGGUCAGUGAGUGAAACGGAGAGCAGGGCCAUUUAAAGCAACACGGUUUAUGUAACCGUGAUCUAAUUGCUUCCACUGGAAAUGGGUCAGAUUCUAGUCAAGAGAACCAAGGGCCUUAAUGACCCCAGUGAAAUUAGACUAUGGCUUUACUUCCAACCUCCUCGGAGAACACGGCCCUCUGAUGAAACGUUGCUUUGAUUCAUUUCAAUCUGCCAUGUUUCCCACUCCCUUCUUGCUUUGUCAUUGUUGAUUUGCUAUUUUUCCUUUCUUUUUUGGUUAAACACGUUAAAGUAAACAGGAUAUAUCAUAUGACAGACUACGAUAAAUUUACUAUUGGGAAUAGGGGACAAGUAUGGGAUAAAGACAUAGGUCUUUUUCGCCUCUCGCAGCUGUGAUUCAGUUGUGACUCAAAAGGAAGUGUGCCACCUACUGAAUCAUGGAAACCACUUCCUGUAGCUCUUUGGUUUAUUCUGGAGGGGCAUCAGGCCAAGUACUGCCCUGCCCUGACCCUGACUGGCUCUUCCGAGCCAAGGCGUUCACAGCUUGAGGUGGUUUGGCUUCGGACUCUGAGAACAUUACAUAUUAAAUUACAAGUGUUUCGUUUCCUAGCAAGGAGUCUUUAGCAACAUGAAAACGAACAUGUGUUAUUUGCAAACCGAGUGUAUCAUUACUCAACCUGAAUAUCUUUACUUUUUCAUAGGGUAUGUAUUCCGAAUGACCACUCUCAAGAUCUGAGUGCACACAGGUUCUGUUUUUCCUGAGGGCAACGUGGGCAGUCUGUAGGGUGGCAUUAACCAGAUGAGGCUUCAAGAGCACCCUUUCAUCAGGGACGCAACAGUAGACUUGUAUUCAUUCAUUCGACAUAUUUUUGGAGCAUGUGCUUAUUGCCAUGUACUGUGCUGGGUAGGUGCGGAGCAUCCAAUGACAAACAAGACUGUACGGCUCCUUACUCCACGGGGCUGGUGUUCUCCACUGUACGGAAAUUCUGCUCUCCCCUCUCGAGGCACAGGUUGUGCUUUGUACACCAUUAAAAGGAACAUCAACUAAAGGAAAA